rnacentral:rRNA from 1 species
GUCCAGACUCCUACGGGAGGCAGCAGUGGGGAAUAUUGCACAAUGGGGGAAACCCUGAUGCAGCAACGCCGCGUGAGUGAGGAAGUAUUUCGGUAUGUAAAGCUCUAUCAGCAGGGAAUAGAAAAGAAGGUACCUGAAAAAGAAGCCCCGGCUAACUACGUGCCAGCAGCCGCGGUAAUACGUAGGGGGCAAGCGUUAUCCGGAUUUACUGGGUGUAAAGGGGGCGCAGACGGCAGCGCAAGCCAGGAGUGAAAGCCCGGGGCCCAACCCCGGGAGUGCUCUUGAAACUGGGCGGCUGGAGUGCAGGAGGGGCAGGCGGAAUUCCUGGUGUAGCGGUGAAAUGCGUAGAUAUCAGGAGGAACACCGGUGGCGAAGGCGGCCUGCUGGA